rfam:Paraburkholderia susongensis strain LMG 29540 genome assembly, contig: Ga0139082_101
ACGGCAGUAGCUCAGCUGGAUAGAGCAUCGGCCUUCUAAGCCGAGGGUCGGGGGUUCGAGCCCCUCCUGCCGUA